GUGGGGAGCAAACGGGAUUAGAGACCCCGGUAGUCCACGCCCUAAACGAUGUGUGACUUUCUAGGACCUAUAUAAAGAGUAUAGUGCGAACUAGAAAAAGCUAACGCGAUCACACCGCCUGGGGAGUACGGCCGCAAGGCUGAAACUCAAAGGAAUUGACGGGAGCUUACACAAACAGUGGAGCAUGUGGUUUAAUUCGACAUAACGCGCAGAACCUUACCUCCCCUUGACAUUUCUUGAAUAUAAAGCAGAAAUGUUUUAUAAUAAAAUCCUGAAACAGGUGCUGCAUGGCUGUCGUCAGCUCGUGUCGUGAGAUGUUAGAUUAAGUUCGUUAACGAGCGCAACCCUUGUAUUAUGUCAUUAGCGGUGCAUAAUAGACAGUCUACUAAAGGUAGAAGGAAGGUGAGGAUGACGUCAAGUCCGCAUGGCCCUUAUGGGGAGGGCUACACAUGUGCUACAAUGAUGCGCACAAAAAGAUGCAAAAGAGUAAUCUGGAGCAAAACUAUAAAUCGCAUCCCAGUACGGAUUGAGCUCUGCAACUCGAGCUCAUGAAGCAGGAAUUGUUAGUAAUCGAAGAUCAGAACGCUUCGGUGAAUAAGUACCUAAGCUUUGUACAUACCGCCCGUCACACUUUAAGAGAGGGGAGUUUCUGAAGAACCCAGAAAUAAACAAGUAAUAAAUUCCACUGAUUUGCAAAAAUCACGAAAAAAUGAAUGUUUAUCGAAGGAUCGAAGUUGUUCAACUUGAUCGAAGUG
rnacentral:rRNA from 1 species